GAGUGACCGGUGACUGGCUGCUGCAGCCAAUGAUGCGAUUCACAUACGUAUUUACCAUAGACUGUAUAUAAUGGUAUUUACGCAGCUAAUCAACGUCAGGCGUCCUUAUGUGCAGCCACCGCUGUUCUCAUAGAUAUGAAUGAGUAGAUAGGACACGCCCCUUUGAGCUGCGUGCUACAGCGAGGCUAAGCUAGUGGGGGAAAAGUUUCAGUGCAUUCUGUUGAUGUAGACGGCGUGAAAACGGAAACAACAAGUAUGCCGUCUCACUGUACUGCAUAUAGUUACACACUACGUCGUACGAUUGAGACAAGGAAACUUGGAAUGACUUUUCAUAGGUUUCCCAGAGACUAUGGGUUGAGGAGGAAUUGGAAGUUUGUCGGCUUAGACCUGGUGUUAUUCCAUCAGUGUUAAACUUCCCGGCUCAUCUUGGAAGAGUACGUGCCAGAAAGACCACGACCAAGCAGCCUUGAGAUCUUAGACAGCGUCUCCCUGAGACCAAAGAACUACAGACUCUUCACAACCUGCUCAAACUCUUGGUACAGGACCUCACCACACGGGUCAAGAAGGUUUCUGUCUCAUUUCUACUCUGAAGCUCACCUUCUCCUGCUCAAACUAC
ensembl:lncRNA